rnacentral:misc_RNA from 1 species
AACGCACAUUGCGCCCCUUGGUAUUCCGGGGGGCAUGCCUGUUCGAGCGUCAUUAUAACCCUCAAGCCUAGCUUGGUGUUGGAGCAUGCUAUCUAGCAGCUCUUAAAAUUAGUGGCAGUGCCCUUCGGCUCUAAGCGUAGUAACUUUUCUCGCUAUAGAACCCGGAUGGUACGCGCCAAAACCCCCAACUUUCUAUGGUUGACCUCGGAUCAGGUAGGGAUACCCGCUGAACUUAA